GAUGGUUUGGCACCUCGAUGUCGGCUCGUCGCAUCCUGGGGCUGGAGUCGGUCCCAAGGGUUGGGCUGUUCGCCCAUUAAAGCGGUACGCGAGCUGGGUUUAGAACGUCGUGAGACAGUUCGGUCCCUAUCCGCUGCGCGCGUAGGAAUAUUGAGAAGGGCUGUCCCUAGUACGAGAGGACCGGGACGGACGAACCUCUGGUGUGCCAGUUGUUCUGCCAAGGGCAUGGCUGGUUGGCUACGUUCGGAAAGGAUAACCGCUGAAAGCAUCUAAGCGGGAAGCCUGCUUCGAGAUGAGUAUUCCCACCCCCUUUGAGGGGUUAAGGCUCCCAGUAGACGACUGGGUUGAUAGGCCAGAUGUGGAAGCCCGGUAACGGGUGGAGCUGACUGGUACUAAUAGGCCGAGGGCUUGUCCUCAGUUG
rnacentral:rRNA from 1 species